rnacentral:rRNA from 1 species
AUUGAACGCUGGCGGCAUGCCUUACACAUGCAAGUCGAGCGGCAGCGCGGGGGCAACCCUGGCGGCGAGCGGCGGACGGGUGAGUAAUACAUCGGAACGUGUCCUGUCGUGGGGGAUAACCAGUCGAAAGACUGGCUAAUACCGCAUGAGAUCGAAAGAUGAAAGCGGGGGACCGCAAGGCCUCGCGCGAUUGGAGCGGCCGAUGUCGGAUUAGCUUGUUGGCGGGGUAAAAGCCCACCAAGGCGACGACCCGUAGCUGGUUUGAGAGAACGACCAGCCACACUGGGACUGAGACACGGCCCAGACUCCUACGGGAGGCAGCAGUGGGGAAUCUUGGACAAUGGGGGCAACCCUGAUCCAGCCAUGCCGCGUGUGUGAAGAAGGCCUGG